rnacentral:lncRNA from 1 species
GCUUGUCUCAUUGAUAACUAAUACUUUUGUGAGGAGUAAGGAGGGGAAAAUUUUGACUGCUAUUACAAUUACUAUUCAUAUCAACAAUGGUUUUCGUAGGUAUGAAUUCGAUUUAUCAAUUUAUUAUUUUGUGAUUCUUGAUUCUUGGCAUGAUUACAAAUAAAUAUUAACAAUUGAUAUCAGAACUUCAUGUCAAGAUCAAAAUCCAUUAUUAAAACAAAUUCAAUCUCGAUUGUUUCAAACUUUGACUUUGCAUUAAGUUUUCAUGUGCAGAUUUCUGUGCGUAUAAUUUCGUGGGUACAUAAUUUAACACAUCUAAAGAAAUCCAAAACCCAAAGAAGACCCGUUUCCUUCUUCUGUGGCACAUACUUUGCCUUUUAUGUGACUUUCUCCAAAUCCAUGGCUGUGUUUCUCCUUACUGCAUGUAAAUUAACCCUACCCAAAUUCAAAUAAAAUUCUGAAACCAAAUCCCUAAACCAGAAUAUGUAAGACAUCUUUUCUCCUACCCAUGGUCGAAACCGUCGGAGCCCAACUAGUUUCGUCUGUAGCAAGGACGACACCGGGAUCAACAUGCUUUGGUGUCCGACCUUCUCGUCGACGUCAUUGCACGUGAGAUUCACUGACCUUGAUUGGGUUCUCACAUCCUUCCAACGAGACGAAUUAGGUUGACAUCCCCAUGGUUAGCUGUCUGCUGUUCUUAAUUAUUAUUAUUAUUUUUAGUUGUCGGUAUUUCAUUUUUCUUUUUCCUUUGAUGAAUUAAUUGGGAUGAGAAUUGAUGUUGUUAAAUGAAGAAAUCUAUUGAACUUGGAAUAGAAGAAAAGGAACCAGCAGCUAUUGUUAUAUGUUUGCAUAUUUUUAUUAUUAUUUUUCCCUUUCUUAUUAAUGUUGAAUCUUUAUUAUGUUUAAGAAGGGAUCAAAUAUGUAUGAUGUGCAAAUCGGACAGUGGUUCUUGUUAGGGUUUGAUAAAGAAGCCGAAUUGAGUGGUGGAAUUAAGGCUGUUUCGGUCGGCUAUGAUGUUUUUGGGGGAGGCGUCUCUCUUGCAAUUAAUGAGAUGAGAGGCCCCUGUCUCCAAUUAGAGAUUGGGGUUAAGAUUGUAAAUAAUAAAAGGAGGACAUGUCAUCCAAUUUAUAUAAUUAAAAGGGCCUAUUAAUAAUUUUAGACCAGGGGUCAUGUUGCAAAUUUUUGAAUGGGUUUUGACUCUAAAAUUUCAAUUUUGACCCAAAUUAAAAAUUUUAUUUAAAAUUAACCCGCUAAAAAUUAUGUGGAUAAUAAUAAUAAUAAUUGACGACUUUUAUAUUUUCGUCAAAAUGUGUAAGUCAAUUGUUGUUAUUAUUUGUUUAUUUAAAUUCCACUUUUCAAAUAUUGAAAUUUUGUUGCCCAUUUUGUCUCUCAAUCAUAUAUAUAAAUUCUGCUGUUUAUCAAUUAAUGAUUAUAAUUUGUUCCAUGAUUAUUAUUUUGUGAUUGAAUUUUUCUACGGGCCUUACAACGAUUCUUGUUUUCCCACUAAGAGAAAUAUUUUGAAAUAAAAAUGGGUGGUAGUUGCCAAAGUGGCACACUCAUUAUUAUUUAUUCGAUUUUCUCUACAAUAAAAAUACAUAUAUUUUUGCCCAACAACUUUUGAUUUAUUGCAUAUAAUAUCUUGUCCAAAGGUGUUAUUAUAUGUAAUAUUUUUGGAAAAUGGCAUGAGAAAGUUAAAGAGCUUAUUUUGGUUUAGAAAUUUUCUUUUGCCCAAAAGUGUUGGUGUUUCGAAAAUCAGUGUAAUUUUGUUAACUGGCUACAUGAUAUGUUUUAAGAGUACCUUAUAGCAUGUUGUAUUGUCGACCCAAAGGUGACUUUAUGAUGAUGCAUCUACACUCUUACCGUAAUAAAAUUUAUAUGUUUCGAUUUAAAUUACGGAUUAUAUAAUUAAUAGCCCAUAUUAAUUAGUUGGAUAUUUCAUCAUCCAUUUGAUUGCAUGCAUUAAGUUUGGAUGAUAUUAAAAGUGAUAUUUUAUGUUUCCACAGUUUAUAAUGCCUCAUCUCUUUCGAAUCAAUUGUCUGCUAUUGAAACUUUGACUGGGAAUAACUAUGUGAGAUGGAAACGAGACGUAGAAAUAGCACUUGAUCUUUUGGGCUUGGAUUUUGCAAUGGAGAAAAAGCUUGAAAAACCCACAGAUAAGAGUACCGUUGAAUAUAGCCGAGCAUGAAAAGUGGGAAAGGGCUAACAAACUCUGUUUGAAAAUCAUUAAGCGAUCGAUAUUUGAUUCCAUUCUAGGUGCCAUCCCUGAUAAUGAAAAUGCCAAAAGUUUUAUGGAUGUCAUAGGAGAAAAAUUUAUUGAGUCUGAUAAAGCCGAAACUGGGGAUCUGAUGGAUAAAUUUAUGAGCAUGAAAUAUGAUGGUACAAGUGGUGUUAGGGUGCAUGUCAUGAAAAUGAUAAAUAUAUCAUCUAAGCUAAAGGCUCUUGACAUUCCCAUUGCGGAGCUUUUCCUGGUCUAUCAUCUUUUAAAUAGCCUUCCUAGGAAGUUUAAUCAGCUUAAGGUUGCUUACAAUGCUCAGCGGGAUAAGUGAAAUUUGAAUGACGUCAUAGCAGUGUAUGCCCAAGAAGAGUAUAGGAUGCGUCGUGAAACUGUUGAAACUGUGCAAUUAGCUUUUCAACCAUCACAGAAUAAGGGGCCUUCUCAUAAUCAUAAACCUAAGUUUCGUAAGGGUAAUAAAUCUCACCGAAGUCAACAGAAUAAAAAUUUUAGUGGUGCCAAAGGAGUUAUAAAGAAAAAUGAUCAAUGCAAGUUAUGUAAAAAGAAGGGUCACUGGCAGAAAGAUUGUUUUAAAUUCAAGACUUGGUUGGAAAAGAAGAAGAGUUCUCCAGGUAUUCCCUUGGCCUUAGUUUGUUUUGAGUCUUAUUUAGUAGAUGUACCUUUGAAUUCUUGGUGGUUAGACUCGGAAGCUAGUAUUCAUAUUGCGAAUUCCUUGCAGGGGUUCAUAAGCAAACGGAGGCCAAGUGAGAAUGAAGUAAGCUUGAGCGUUGCAAAUGGAUUUCAAAUGAAGGUUGAAUUCAUAGGAGUAGUGAAGUUAACUUUAGAGUCUGGUUUUUAUCUUGUUUUGGAAAAUACAGUUUAUGUACCGCAGAUGAGACGGAAUUUAAUUUCUAUACCAAAACUUGAUGCUUGUGGUUUUACAUUUAAUUUUGGUAAUGGAAUGGUUAAGUUAUCUAAUAAUUCUCGUUUGAUUGGGAAUGACAUUUUAUGUGAUGGUUUAUAUAAAUUAUCUUUAGCUUCUUCUAGUGAUAUCUCGUGUGUUACAAAUGUAUCAAAGAAAAGGGCUUUAAUUCGUGAAUCAUUCUCUAUGUUGUGGCAUAAGCGAUUGGAUCAUAUUUCUAAGGAUAGAAUGGAAAGAUUAGUAAAAGAUGAGAUACUUCCUUCCUUAGACUUUUUCGAUUUUGACACCUGUAUAGAUUGUAUAAUAGGAAAGUUAACUAAAUCUACGAGGAAGGGUUCGACUAGGAGUAAUGGAAUUUUGGACUUAAUUCACACUGAUAUCAGGGGACCUUUGCUUUCCACUAUAUGUGAGAAUAAAUAUUUCAUAACUUUCAUUGAUGAUUUCUCACAAUAUGGAUAUGUUUAUCUAAUUAACGACAAAUCACAUGCACUUGAGAAAUUCAAAGUUUUCAAAUUGGAAGUAGAGAAACAAUGUGAAAAAAGUAUCAAAGUUGUAAGAUCUGACCGAGGUGGUGAGUACUAUGAGAAAUAUGACGAGUCUGGUCAAAAUAUGGGUGAUUUUGCAAAAUUUUUACAAGAGUGUGGAAUAGUGCCCCCAAUACACCAUGUCAGGGACACCUGAGCAGAAUGGUGUUUCUGAAAGACGUAGUCGAACUCUAAAAGAUAUGGUUAGAAGUAUGAUGAGUAGAAUAAAUUUGCCUGAAUAUUUGUGGGGUGAAGCCUUGAAAAUAGCUAUGUAUAUUUUGAACAGAGUUCCAAGUAAAGCUGUUGCAAAGACACCUUUUGAAUUAUGGACAGGACGUAAGCCAAGUAUGGCUCACUUUAAAGUUUGGGGAACGAAGAUCUGCAUUGCCCAGUCAUUAUAUUGCAUAUUUAUUGGAGAGCGAUUUUAAUAUUGGGCAUAUUGUUGAUCCUGUAACUUAUAACCAAGCAUUGACAAGUCGUGAUGCAGAUAAUUGGAUAGCUGCCAUGGAAGAUGAAAUGAAUUCCAUGGAAAGGAAUAAAGUUUGGGAUCUUGUUGAACUUCUUCCAGAUGCUAAGGCUGUAGAUAACAAGUGGAUUUUCAAAAGUAAAUUAGAUUCAAAAGGAAAUGUUGAACGAAAGAAAGUAAGAUUAGUUGCAAAAGGUUUCACUCAACGUGAGGGCAUUGAUUAUAUUGAAACCUUCUCCCCUGUUUCAUCGAAAGAUUCUUUUCGAAUUAUCAUGACUCUUGUGGCACACUACAAUUUGGAGUUUCAUCAAAUGGAUGUUAAGACAACAUUUUUGAAUGGAG